CUACGGGCUGCACCAGUGGGGAAUAUUGCACAAUGGAGGAAACUCUGAUGCAGCCAUGCCGCGUGUGUGAAGAAGGCCCGAGGGUUGUAAAGCACUUUCAAUUGGGAGGAAGGUUAUGUAGCUAAUACCUGCAUAAUUUGACGUUACCUUUAGAAGAAGCACCGGCUAACUCUGUGCCAGCAGCCGCGGUAAUACAGAGGGUGCAAGCGUUAUUCGGAAUUACUGGGCGUAAAGCGCGCGUAGGCGGAUUGUUAAGUCAGAUGUGAAAGCCCUGGGCUCAACCUGGGAACGGCAUUUGAUACUGGCAGUCUAGAGUUUAAGAGAGGGAAGGGGAAUUUCUAGUGUAGCAGUGAAAUGCGUAGAUAUUAGAAGUAACAUCAGUGGCGAAGGCGCCUUCCUGGCUUAAAACUGACGCUGAGGUGCGAAAGCGUGGGUAGCGAACGGGAUUAGAUACCCGGGUAGUC
rnacentral:rRNA from 1 species